rnacentral:rRNA from 1 species
GAAUCCACUCGUCUUCUAGUUGAGGAGUGGAGCCAGACAGCAAGCCAGUUCAGAGCUGAUCACAGCAAAAUGGAGUGGACUUUCCAUAGGUUCCCUGCAUGCCUAGGGGAACUGGACAGCCGGUACGUGAAGCCGCUGGUGGUGGCACUCGGCCCUUACCACCACGGCGACACCAAGCUCCAGGAGAUGGAGAAUUUGAAGCGCGUGGCCGCCGACCGUUUCGUGCGCGCGUCCGGCAGCGAGCUCGACCUCGAGGAGAUCUUCCAGGCAGUCUCCGCCGUUGCCGGCGUGGCCCGCGGUCUCUACAUCGGUGACGAGGUGGCAGGUAUGAGCGCUGAUGAGUUCGCGAACAUGAUGCUCUAUGACGCUUGUUUCUUGCUACAGUACAUACGAGUGAUGGAUUCCGAUCCAAGGGAUCCCGCAGAUGCCUCCUUGGAGCGUCUAUUCGUCUCCAACCGAGUAUGCAUCGAGAAUGACAUCAUGCUGCUGGAGAACCAGAUUCCAUGGUCCGUAGUGCAAGCACUCAACAGCCUCGGCCGAUCUCCGGCGCCGGUCGACAAGUUCAUCUCUACUAUGGGAAGCACCUUCAAGAUCCGUGGGCAUCGGGAGAGCGCUCAACCAUUUCGGCCCUACACUAGUGAUCGCAACCCGCCACAUCUCCUUGCACUCUUCCGGUUGGAAAAAGUCGGGUACACGAGAACCCAAGGAGUGCCUCCAUCCUCGUCGAUGGCGAUCACCGCAAGUGCCACCGAGCUCGCCGAGAUGGCCAUCAACAUCCAGCCCUGCAUGACGUCAGACUUCAUGGACAUGGGCAUCUUUAUAGGAAAGCUCUUCACCCACCUCUACCUGGCGCCCCUCUGCCUCGACGAAACCAGGGCAUGCUGGCUCGUCAACAUGGCCGCUCUGGAGGUCUGCACAGCCUCCAACGACAGGGACGACGACAUAAUGAAGAGGGAGACGGCCGUGUGCUCCUACCUCGCCCUCCUGGCGAUGCUCAUGAACCGGGAGGAGGACGUGCACGAGCUGCGUAACAAGCAGGUAGUGCAAGCAAAGCUCACCGACAAGGAGACGCUAGACUUCUUCAAGGGCGUUGUGAAGCGCCUCGACGGCGGCCGCCUCUACAGCGGCAUCAUGGCGGAGAUUGACCACUACAAGUGGAAGAGGAGCAGGAGGAUCAAGGUCUACAAAUUCAUCAAAAAGAACAAACGAAGUAUCAUCGCCGUACUGUCAAUCAUUGCCGUUCUUAUUGGAAUCUUCAAGACGCUGCUCUCUCUAAAGACACGCCAGUAG